rnacentral:rRNA from 1 species
ACAUGCCUACAACAUAGCGUUAAUGCAUAAGAUCCCAUUAGAACUCUGUAGUUGAGCAUGCUCAGGCUAGAGUAGUACUGUGAUGAGUGAUCGCCCUUGAAGUCCUAGUGUUUUACAUGCC